rnacentral:rRNA from 1 species
GAUGAACGCUAGCUACAGGCUUAACACAUGCAAGUCGAGGGCAGCGGGAUUGAAGCUUGCUUCAAUUGCCGGCGACCGGCGCACGGGUGAGUAACGCGUAUCCAACCUUCCGUACACUCAGGGAUAGCCUUUCGAAAGAAAGAUUAAUACCUGAUGGUAUCUUAAGCACACAUGUAAUUAAGAUUAAAGAUUUAUCGGUGUACGAUGGGGAUGCGUUCCAUUAGGUAGUAGGCGGGGUAACGGCCCACCUAGCCAACGAUGGAUAGGGGUUCUGAGAGGAAGGUCCCCCACAUUGGAACUGAGACACGGUCCAAACUCCUACGGGAGGCAGCAGUGAGGAAUAUUGGUCAAUGGACGAGAGUCUGAACCAGCCAAGUAGCGUGAAGGAUGAAGGUCCUACGGAUUGUAAACUUCUUUUAUAAGGGAAUAAACCCUCCCACGUGUGGGAGCUUGUAUGUACCUUAUGAAUAAGCAUCGGCUAACUCCGUG